AGCACAUAAAGCAUACAUUUCACUGUCCUACUUGUAGAUCCAGAGUGUAAAAUAUCCGCAGCCAACAUCAGCGUGUAGAAACGGGACAAUUUCUAGGGACAUGGAAACCUCAGCGGGACAUAAAUAAGUAAUCUUCGCAACAUCCAGGGACGGAUCCAGGAAUUCCGGUUAUGAGGGCGCAGCUUUUUUAUGAGGCUUGGAGCCGCCAUGAGGCCACCAGUGGGUCAAGGACACAGCCCUGAUGGAAAUCCAGGGGACAAAGUCCGCGUGAGGUCCCGGCUGGAUUUUGCAAAUUUCAUAAGGAAUGGGGGAAAAUAAAAACGGAGCAGACAGGGAUUCGAACCCGGGUCCUCUGAAUUCUCUCUAUGACACCAGCCAAUGAUCUUUUUCCCCUGGCAGACAUUUUCACCUGUCAGUUCCAGGGCUGAUCUACGGCACCAUGUAACGGAAUAGGAAAAUAUGCAACGGACCACACCGAAAUUCGAACCUGAACCCCUGAAUCUCUAAUCAGGUGUUCUAACAACUAAAGUAUCUGACCAUCGGUGUUCGAACUCGGCUGACCGCUACAUUCCUCCCUCCCUAAAUUGCCUUCAUCCUCAGAGACACGCAACCCAGAUUAGUUUCGCUCCUGUCAGGACAGCAUGCUUUGCAGGGGUGGUCACGGCACCACCUGUAGUAUAUAGGGGAGAGAACAUUUGUGGCUGGGCCGUUAUAGUAGCAUAGACUCCUCCUCCCCCCGGAAAAACGGUCUCGGGAUAGAUCUUCCCCAUAGGGGGAAAAAGCGCCCCAGCAUAUAAUUCCCCCUAUGUACAAAGUCAGUAUAUAAUUCCCCCCUUGGCGGAAAAACCGUCCUGGUAUAGAAUUUCCCUCUCUUGUUUCCGGAUUCCAUAUACUGGAAUAUUUUUCUUCUCAUGUAGAAGUUUUUGAAUCAAUAUAGAAUGAAGCACACCCAUGUAACUGAAGAUAACAAUCAAUGACAUUUAUUAUUAUUGCUAUAAAGAGGUACAUGUUAUCAAAAAAAGUUACAAAAAAGAAACAAAUAUGUGCUUUUAAAUUGUUAUAGUUUAAUGAAAUAGAUAUGCGCUCAUUAAUUUUACGAUAUUCAUAAAAUAAAGGAUUUUUUUUGAGUUGUUGAAGUUGGGUUUACACGCUGAAAACUUUGAAUUGCGUAUAGUAAAUACAACAUGCUUCCCAAAAGACUUGAACGGUGAUUAAAAUCAUUAGUGGUUUUCGUAAAACGUCGACUAAAAGAUAUACAUGUACAAUUAAAAUAUCUAAAAAGUAAAUUAAAUGCACUGUAUAAAUAAAACUAGCAGUUUAUUCAAAAUCGAAAUUUUGAAUUAAAAAGACAUUAACUUCUUCCUUUAAAUUUAAAAAAAAAAUAAUUCCUGGGUCCAGAUAAGCAAGAAAAUUUUAGUAAUAGAACUGGAAAUGGACACAUAGCUAAAAUGUAAGAAGGGGGAAAACCCGUACUGCCAUUUAGACGGAAAUUCUAUACUGGGGUGGUUUUUCCUAGGGGGGGGGGGGGUAAUUCUUCCUAGAGUGAAUUUCUAUGCCAGACUCAUCUUUCCAGGGGGAAUGUCUAUCCCGGGUCCUUUUUUCCGGGGGAAAAGUCUAUGCGGGAGAAAUUCUAUACUACAACACCGGGAAUCAAACCCGGGGGCCCUGCAUUACUAGUCAGGUGCUCUAACCAUUAAGUUAUAUAGGCUAUAUAUGCAUAUACAAGACCAUCAUGAAAAUUAAUCAUCUUGCAUCACUAUUUCCCCUUUCCAAUGCCUCAUGUGAAAAGGGGUUUUCUACAAUGAAGAGAAUAAAAAGUGGUUGGCGUUGUAGUCUAAAUAAUGAAACCAUGAACAUUUUAAUGCGCAUAGACACGUGUGGUAAGAAACUGGAAGACUUCGAGCCCAGACCUGUUGUCAACAGGUGGUGGAUUAGUGGAAUGAGGGUCAAGAGACCCAACAUCGCACCCUAUGGCCCACAUCAGUGACUGACUUGUCUAAACACAAGACUAAGUAAUCAUGGGAAAAUCACUUAUUAAAAUAAAGCACAAAAAA